UCGAUGAAGAACGCAGCGAAAUGCGAUAAGUAGUGUGAAUUGCAGAAUUCAGUGAAUCAUCGAAUCUUUGAACGCACAUUGCGCCCCUUGGUAUUCCAUGGGGCAUGCCUGUUCGAGCGUCAUUUGUACCUUCAAGCUCUGCUUGGUGUUGGGUGUUUGUCUCGCCUCUGCGUGUAGACUCGCCUCAAAACAAUUGGCAGCCGGCGUAUUGAUUUCGGAGCGCAGUACAUCUCGCGCUUUGCACUCAGAACGACGACGUCCAAAAGUACAUUUUACACUCUUGACCUCGGAUCAGGUAGGGAUACCCGCUGAACUUAA
rnacentral:rRNA from 1 species